AGAGUUUGAUCAUGGCUCAGGAUGAACGCUGGCGGCGUGCCUAAUACAUGCAAGUCGAACGAGGUGCUUUUGUAGCAAUACGAGAGUAUCCUAGUGGCGAACGGGUGAGUAACGCGUUGGUGACCUGCCCCGAAGCGGGGGAUAACAGCUCGAAAGGGCUGCUAAUACCCCAUGAGUUCCCGGGCGUUAGAGAACCGGGAAGAAAGCCCGGCCCGCAAGGGCCAGGCACUUUGGGAGGGACCUGCGGUCCAUCAGCUGGUUGGUAGGGUAACGGCCUACCAAGGCGACGACGGGUAGGGGACCUGAGAGGGUGAUCCCCCACACUGGCACUGAAACACGGGCCAGACACCUACGGGUGGCAGCAGUAGGGAAUAUUGCACAAUGGGCGCAAGCCUGAUGCAGCAACGCCGCGUGCGCGAUGAAGGCCUUCGGGUCGUAAAGCGCUUUUCUGGAGGAUGAGCAAGGACAGUACUCCAGGAAGAAGUCUCGGCUAACUACGUGCCAGCCGCCGCGGUAAUAC
rnacentral:rRNA from 1 species